rnacentral:rRNA from 1 species
UUACCUACCUUGACACGUGUCUUGGAACCUUAGCUGAGAGGCGAGGGUGCCUUCGGGAGCCAGAACACAGGUGCUGCAUGGCUGUCGUCAGCUCGUGUCGUGAGAUGUUGGGUUAAGUCCCGCAACGAGCGCAACCCUUGUCAUUAGUUGCCAUCAUUUAGUUGGGCACUCUAAUGAGACUGCCGGUGACAAACCGGAGGAAGGUGGGGAUGACGUCAAGUCCUCAUGGCCCUUAUGGGUAGGGCUUCACACGUCAUACAAUGGUCGGUACAGAGGGUUGCCAAGCCGCGAGGUGGAGCCAAUCCCUUAAAGCCGAUCGUAGUCCGGAUCGUAGUCUGCAACUCGACUACGUGAAGUCGGAAUCGCUGGUAAUCGCAGAUCAGCAUGCUGCGGUGAAUACGUUCCCGGGUCUU